rnacentral:rRNA from 1 species
CUGGCGGCGUGCCUAAUACAUGCAAGUCGAGCGAGAAAUACUUCAGACGAUUCUUCGGAUGAGUCAGGAAGAUGGAAAGCGGCGGACGGGUGAGUAACGCGUAGGCAACCUGCCCUCAGCAGAGGGAUAGCCAUUGGAAACGAUGAUUAAAACCUCAUAAUGCUGGAGUAACACAUGUUACAUCAGCCAAAGAUUUAUCGGCUGGGGAUGGGCCUGCGUCUGAUUAACUGGUUGGUGAGGUAACGGCUCACCAAGGUAACGAUCAGUAGCCGACCUGAGAGGGUGAUCGGCCAUAUUGGAACUGAGACACGGUCCAAACUUCUACGGAAGGCAGCAGUAAGGAAUCUUGCACAAUGGGGGAAACCCUGAUGCAGCAACGCCGCGUGAACGAUGAAGGCCUUAGGGUUGUAAAGUUCUGAUCUGUGGGAAGAAGAAAGUGACGGUACCACAGGAGAAAGCCCCGGCUAAAUACGUGCCAGCCGCGGC